rnacentral:tRNA from 1 species
AGUUACAAAAUCUAGUUGGUAAAAUGUUAAAUUUAUAAAUUAAAUAUUUAUAAAUAUUUAAUUUAUAAAUUUUGUUAUAAUUG